rnacentral:rRNA from 1 species
UACGGAGGGUGUAAGCGUUAUCCGGAAUCACUGGGUUUAAAGGGUGCGUAGGCGGCUAAAUAAGUCAGAGGUGAAAGCUUGCAGCUUAACUGCGAAAUUGCCUUUGAUACUGUAUAGCUUGAAAGGAGCUGAGGUCAGCAGAAUGUGGCAUGUAGCGGUGAAAUGCAUAGAUAUGCCAUAGAAUACCAAUUGCGAAGGCAGCUGGCUGGGCUGACUUUGACGCUGAGUCACGAAAGCGUGGGGAUCGAACAGG